UACAGAGGGUGCGAGCGUUGUCCGGAAUCACUGGGCGUAAAGGGCGCGUAGGUGGUGGCUUAAGCGUGCGGUGAAAGCUCGGGGCUCAACUCCGGGUCGGCCGUGCGAACUGGGCUCACUGGAGCAUAGUAGAGGCAGGUGGAAUUCCGGGUGUAGCGGUGGAAUGCGUAGAGAUCCGGAAGAACACCGGUGGCGAAGGCGGCCUGCUGGGCUAUGGCUGACACUGAGGCGCGACAGCGUGGGGAGCAAACAGG
rnacentral:rRNA from 1 species